UGCCUUCAAGGUUGCUUUUAAUUGCUUGUUUCAAAGAUGCCAGCUAGCAAAGUACUUACUUUUCAGAUUUUUCUUCUUCCUAAUUAGACUGAGAGUGGCUGUCACACAGAGUGCUCCCUUCAGUCCUUCCGUCAUAAAUGAAUGACAUGAACAUUAUUAAAGAUGAUCAUCACCUGCCUGGAACACGGUCCCCAAUAACAAAAAAUUACUAACAAUUAGCCCAGGACUGUACAGCUGGUUUUACACAAAAGGCCUCCAGCAAGAUCUGUACGUGGAAUGCCUGUGUUUGAACUCGUGGUCACCUGCUCCCUCCACACAGCCUGCACUUCUGAGGUGCCCAGGGUGACUCUGCUUCUGCAGCGGUGGCCUGCCAGAGGCACCCUCCAUCUUCACCAGCCUCCUUGUCACGGGUGCUGGGCAAGGAGGUGGCACUACAGUCUCCAGAAGCUGAGGACGGCUGAGCCUGUCCUGCAGGGUUGUGUCCUCAUCAGGAAGUGACCGUCAUGACUGGGAUCCAGGACUCACUCAGACAUAAAGCAGAAAUGAGCGGCCAGGAAAGGACCUGGCACAUAGGAACUGUCCCCUGAGGUCGCGGAAGUUCAGAGCCAAAGAAGACACUGAGAUUCUGUAGCAUCCCCAAGGGUGGUCAGAGUCCAGUGCUGCCCAUGACCCUCCCAUGGCCACAGCGCAAUCGCGUCACGGGAGCAACCCAGGACGUGGACCCUGCCUGCUCCACGUGCCCAUGUCUCCCCUGCUUCUCACCUUUGUGAAACCAGAGUGUUUCCCAAGCUGACUUCUGCCAGGUAGAUUCAAAUACCCAGUGGUUUCAAAGUGAGAUCAUUCCUUUUUACAACACAG
rnacentral:lncRNA from 1 species